UCACGGCAUAAAGCCCAAUUCCCUCUGGCCCCUGCAGGUUGGCUCAGCACUGGGGAAUCAGUGUCCCCUCCAUGACCAAGGCACCACUCCACUGACAGACUCUGUUAAUCAGCAUGCUUGGCUGGCCUCCAAUCACAGGUCCAGGAGCUGAGACAAGGGUCCUUUUGAGCUCCUAUGUGGGAGGCUCUGGAAAGCUUAGCAACACUUUCCAACAACUUUGCCAGGGUCGUAUCUCCCAGGAAGAUCUCACUUCCCCACAGAAUCUCCUGGCCCGGCCUCCUGCAGUGCCACGCUCCGUGUAUUUGACAAGCUGAGUUGGACACUCCGUGUGGUAGAGUGUCAGUUUGUCAAAUACCCCAAGUGCGGCAUAUGCUUACCAGCUCCAGGCCAGGGCAGAUGGCAUAUGACGAAUGGACUGCCAGCUGGAUACAAGGAUGCUCACCAAGCACCAAGUUCUCACAAGUUAUUUUAUGUGACUCUGCAGGAACUGAGGCAUUUUUUUUCUGAGGACACCAGAGAAAAAGUGUAGCAUCUCUGGGAAAUACAGCCCUGGGCUGAGUCUACACACACCAUGAGAGUGCUGAUGGUGGUGCAAUAGACUUGAAAAUGUAUAAUGGGUUCAAGAAUGGAAGUGCCCUUUGAUUCUUUAUUAUUUUCUUCCUUCACAUUCCCCUCCCAGAUUCUCCCAUGUAGGACAUCAGAAUUCUCACACAAGCAUCAUGGUUUAUGUGAGUAAGCAGGGGUUAGAAAUUCACUUUCUUGACACUCAGUCUUGCCUUCUAAAUACUCCUUGAUCUUGCCUACCUCUUCCCUUUUCCACAAGUCUUUUCCUCUAGGAACCCUUUCUCCGUUUAUUUCUGCCUAUCCAGUUCUUCCCUAUAUUUCCUGUAUCAGCUAAAGUCCAGUGUUUCCAGAGACUUUUGAAAGUCAACUUAUACUUUUUCCUCCUUCAUUCACAAAGCACUUCUUGCCUGGGCCCUGGUAUGUGCCCCUUUCUCUCCUACUGUCUAACAGCAGUAGGAGAGAAUUGCCCUCUUGAAUUGUCAGUGACAACUGACAACUCUUGAAUUGUCAGGGGGUUUUCUUGAAUUCCCAACUAGAUUGUGAGCUUCUAGAAGACAAGGCUAUGUCUUUGAUUGCUGUCUCCCCUACCAAAACCCAGUACUUUAGUUACAGAAAAUAAUAAACAUUUACCGAUUGACUGGCUUUCCUCUAGUCCACUAGCUUUGGGUUUAGGCUUUGGGGCCAAAUUGUACUCUGGAUUUUGAAAAAAAAUCAAACUGUGAACACCGCAAUGUUAUAGAGCAUAUGAGGUAGUAGCCAGCAUGAAGGAUAUUUUUAUUCCUGAGAAACAGUGUCAAGGGCUGGAGGAAGAAGGCAAAAUAGCAGACUCAGAGGGCAAAUAAAUUUUGGUAUUACUUGAUUACACAGAGUUAUACAGGUGCUUUCUUGUAGGAUUUUUCAGAGCCUUUAAUAGUCUAACGUUGCAUUGAGAAACUCAAAGAGGAAACCAUAGAAUGAGGCCUUUGCCACACCUAUCUGAUCAUGAAUUUCUUUUCUCCCACAGGCCUUCUCCUGUGUCAAUGUCCAAUGAAGCAUGAUUUGGGAAACUGUCGUAGAGAAACUUUAUACCUUCCCUAUCUUCUGGAGAUCUUUUCCUCUUUUCACUCAUCUACUUUCCCCAACCAGCCAUCUGCCUAAGAAAGGUCCCCACCUGAUUUUUGUUUAGCCUAUCCUGCAGCUGUGGACUAUCUCUAUUACAUAGGAAUUCUUUACUAGCUUGUCCUGUAUUUAAAAAAAUUCUCAGUUUUGAAGCAAAGGUGAUCCAGAUGCUGCAAUAAAUACAUGCACUGAGGAGUU